UACGUAGGGGGCUAGCGUUGUCCGGAAUCAUUGGGCGUAAAGAGCGCGUAGGCGGCCCGAUAAGUCCGCUGUGAAAGUCCAGGGCUCAACCCUGGAAUGCCAGUGGAUACUGUCGGGCUAGAGUACGGAAGAGGCGAGUGGAAUUCCUGGUGUAGCGGUGGAAUGCGCAGAUAUCAGGAGGAACACCAAUAGCGAAGGCAGCUCGCUGGGACGUUACUGACGCUGAGGCGCGAAAGCGUGGGGAGCAAACGGG
rnacentral:rRNA from 1 species